GACGAACGCUGGCGGCGUGCUUAACACAUGCAAGUCGAACGAAGUGGCGAACGGGUGAGUAACGCGUAAUCAACCUGCCCUUCAGAGGGGGACAACAGGUGGAAACGACUGAUAAUACCGCAUACUGAGGGUGGGGAUUGCGUCUGAUUAGCUAGUUGGAGGGGUAACGGCCCACCAAGGCGAUGAUCAGUAGCCGGUCUGGGAGGGUGAACGGCCACAUUGGGACUGAGACACGGCCCAGACUACUACGGGAGGCAGCAGUUGGGAAGCUUCCGCAAUGGACGAAAGUCUGACGGAGCAACGCCGCGGGAGUGAUGACGGCCUUCGGGUUGUAAAGCUCUGUUAAUCGGGACGCGGUACCGGAAUAGAAAGCCACGGCUAACUACGUGCCAGCAGCCGCGGUAAUAC
rnacentral:rRNA from 1 species